CUUGCCGGCGUCGUACCACUGCGGCGCGUCGAUCAACCCGAUCUUCGUCAGCACCUCAGGCAGCAGCAUCCCGGCCACCCCCAGCAUCGCCCACCGCCCGUUCACCAGCUCCGCCUGCACGAACCACCGCAGGUUCUCCGGGUCCUCCGCCAGACCCAACGGGUCGAACCCGUUAUCGCCUGGCAAGCUGUACACACCCGUUUAACUAUCGUGUUAGUAGUUUUUUUAUGAUGCUCUCUACUGGUAGUAGAAAUAUAUUUUUUUUAUGUGUGUGCUCACCUGCCGUUGAGGUAGGUGGGAGAAGGGAGGCCGGGGAGCCACUCUCCCUUGGCCUCCGCCCGAACAUUACGCCUCGUA
rnacentral:lncRNA from 1 species